rnacentral:lncRNA from 1 species
AGGCCCAAUAGGAUCAACUUGAGAGGUUAGCAGCCCAUUAGGUCCCAAUAGGAGAGUCUUGCCCCAAAUAGGGGUUUGGACCGAGAGGGCUUGGGCUAAGGUCCAAAGUUGAGUGGACAUAGCUUAUUGGGUUAGGUUUUGAGCUUUCACUAGGAAGUUUCGAAUUGAAUCACAAUUUUUGGAUCUAUAAACUUGUAUAGCAUUUAAGUUUGAUUUAUACCAAAUGUAGGGUUACAAAAUUACACAAGAAAAUUAUUGUGCACAAGAUAUAAAUCUUAACCCUAAUUUGCUAGUUGUGACAUAGAAGAAAAUGAUCGGCCCCUACUACCUUCUCAUGAUAUGCCCGAUUCUUUUAUCACCCAAGAAACACACACACUCACACUCACACAAAUAAACAUCAAGUUGCACCUGUAUCAAAUCUUGAAUCAAAUUGGGCAUUGUACUUCAAAUUUUCUAUAGAUCAGUAGAAAUCUUCCAACAAUCAAUUAAAUUGUACAAAAGAUCAUCUCUAGUUGUUGCUUCAGGGAUUCUUACCUUUUUUCCCACUCUAAUCUCAAUCUUACUCUCACCAUUUCUUCUCUUUGAAGGCAAAAUCAUUAACCAAAAAGAUAGUUGUUGUCCCCUUUUAGUUCUAGCUUCUUCCCCUUCCUUUUGAUGCGAUAAAGAUGCCACAAACACCCUCUGAAAUUGAUGUGGUAACCUUUUCAAUCCUUAUCUCCUUCUUAUUCAGUUUCCAUAAAGAAAACCCCACCAAAGGUAGAGCUUCUUCCGAUAGUUAAGAAAGCAACAACCCCCUUUUUCUCGUUUCCGUUCCUUCUCAUUGAUUUCCCAACAAACCAAACACCCCAUCUGCAGCAAAUUUCGUUCACAGUAAUUCCAUUUUGUGUUUCCUGGCAAUCGGGCCAUAAAAGAAAAAAAGACCAACGAGGAAACACCAGAGCAACCUCCCUCGCUACCACCGACGACGAUUGAAGAGCCAAGGGAUCUCGCCGGAGAUCAACUCCCUUCUCCCUCCUUGUGAUUCACUCAACCACCAUCGGACAGCCAUGACUUCUGCUUUUGUUCGUUCCCUUCCCUAGCAGAUGAAGACUGAAGAAUCUUUCUUUGAGUGAUGGACACCAGCAAUGAGAAACGGGCCGCGAAGGGUCGCUGGAGAUGGAUGGAAACCCUUCCUCACUAAUUUCUUUCUUCUUCUGCCUUCGUUCCUUUGCUUUGAUCGGAAUCGGACGUAGAUAUGAAGAAGACGUGAUCCCCUUUUUCAUUUGUUGAAUGUGGCAAACCCAACCCCCCUCAUUUUAUAUCUUAAAUCAAAAUUACCCUUGUUGAGAUAAUAAAUCAAAUCAGGUCCCUUACCAGCCCCUUAAUUUUAUCAAUGGGUCAAAAGCAGUCCCUCUUUUGGGUUAUUUAAUCAAAAGCAUCCCUACACAUGUUUCACAAGAUUUAAAAUCAACCUCUUGGCUUAAAUCAUUACAAAAAUGAUCCCUUUAGUUUUAAAUAUUAGAAAACAAACUCCAAAGUGUUUCAAAGUUCAAGAAUGUUUAUUUUGCGGUUAUUCACGAAAAGCUUCAUCAAAACCAAGCUUAGAUUGAGAUCACACAUCGAAUGUGAGUUUCUUCGGUCCCUCUUUUACUAUUUUAAUAUUUGGGGAGAAUAUAUGUGUGUCUAUUAAAGUUUGAUGAUUUUAAAGUUUUAUAUACAAAAUAAUAUCAUACUUUAGUAUUGGUCAAACAUUUAUGAAAUAGCAAUCUAAAAAUGUGAUAAAUCACCAGUAAAUCUAUUAAGUUAAAGUAGAUUGUAAAAAGGUGAUAUAUUUAUACCUUAUGUGAAAGAUGAAUAUAAUUAUUAAGAAAAAUCACAAGAUUAUAAGUAGAUUGCUAUAAUAACACAAGUUGAUAUUACAAUUCACAAAAAUGAUGGUCUUGUAUGUAUAAGUUAAAGUAUCCCAUGGAAGCAUAGAAAGAUAUAAAAAUGACCAAAAAUAUUAUUCGUGUAUAAAACAAAAGUAUAUUUGAAGGAAAGACAAAGUUUAUGAAAUUGUAUAAUUAUUAGUUAAAAUUAUAAAAUUUAACUUUUAAUAUAUAUAUAUAUAUAUAUAUANUUUUAAUAUAUUAGGUUAUAUAAAACUGAAUGGAAAAUCCAUUAAUAUAUUUUUUAUAUCAAUUAUAAAAAUAUAACUAAUUUAUUAAGUUACAGAUUUGAAUACAAUAAAUAACAAGAUCGACUUCACGACUUAAGAGUCGUCAUUUGCGAUAUAUUGUAUAAUAUUAAUCAUGAGAAGUAUAAAUAUUGUGAAAAUUGUUGGUUUCACGUUGGUUGAAACCAGGAAAAUGUUAUAAAAGCAGUCGUUAUGUUGCCCAAAUUUCAUCAUAACAGACAAUAAAAAUUUGGAAAUCCAUUAAGUCUUGUGUAUCUCAAUACUAAAAGACUUCGAUCAAAUAUUAUUCCUAAACAACAAAAUCAUAAAUAUUUAACAAUCUUAUAAUAUGAAGUUUAGGACUAGGAUGUCUAGACACAUUGUUAGGAUCCAACACUCUAGGGUCUGUCUAUUGGUUUCACAUUAUUUUUAGAGCCAUAUGAGUUAGGUUUGUUUCCUAAGUCAUUUGGGCUAUGUUGUUGAGUAGUCUAAGAAUGUGUUUCUUGGUGUGAAAACUCUUUACUUUCAUAACCGUUAAUCCUCAUAGAAUGACUAACGACAGGUAUAAGUGGCAUACUAAUGAUCAUAUACAGUUAGACCACCUACCUGGGAGUUGCUAGCUACAACUACGUCUGAUGAGAUGAAUUUUGGCGCUGACAUUAGUACCAUUGGGACUUAAGAAUACCCUUGUGUGGAGUGGGUGCAUAAAGUAUGGCAUCAUAAGUUCGGUUAUGGGUUCAUCAUAAAAUUCCAGUUU